UCCCCCCAGUAUAUGGUUGUAUAUUUUUUUAGUUGUGGGUCCUGCUAGUUGUGGCAUGUGGGACACCCCCUCAACAUGGCCUGAUAAGUGGUCCCAUGUCUACACCGAGGAUCCAACCGGCGAAACCCCAGGCCGCCGAAGCAAGUAAUCUGAGGGAUGAUGCUUGGACACCCCGAGUUUACCAUCAACAUUUUACCUAAUGGCUUUAGCAUGCAUUGAAGAUCAUUCCCAGAUCAUUAUUUUAGAGAAAGAUGAUCCAGGCUCUUCUCACGUAUUCGCUGUUGAGAACUAGAGUCUGCCAGUUCUCCGAGAAGCCCUAGAUCCUCUUAGUAAAAAAAUAAACAAAGCCAUCCAUUCUGUGCUGUUGAGUGUCCUCCUGCUUUGGUGCUUCCCCACUGAGACGUCACAGACCAGUGGGACGGCCACCAGGAAUUUAGACAUCAACCAGGACGGAUGAUGCUUUGAAAGUGCUAACAAAGGCAUGAGAAAUGUGAGAAUUUCAACAAAUCGUCAAGAGGAAUGAAAGUGAUAUCGUGACUGAGAAAAGUUUGACCUCAUCAAAUUUCAUCUGUGGCCAUCUUCUAUCCUUAAAUGUGUGCGACCAGUGACAUUUCAGCAAAGCAGGCUUUAUGCAAAAUAUACUGCCUACAUAAUACUUCUUCCAGAAACAGGAAUCAAAUAAACGUUUUAGCCCUAGGGAUUAGGAACGGAUGGCUUUUAGUUUUAUUUCUUCUCCAAGGGAAAUGUAUUAAAGUAUGUAAAAAGUAAAAUAGUAAAGUAUUUAAAAUAUUUUAAAUUACUCAAGACACAGGAUGCAAGUCAGAAAAAAAAUCAUUCUCAAAAUGCAUUGUCCUUAAAAGUUGCCUAAUGUGUGGUUAGUAUAAGAAAACACUGCUCAGUUUUCAACUCUCAUGAGAUUCCAGAAGAUAUUAUUGGGAAUUCUGAGCCACAUUAAUAUUUUCAAAAGUAAAUAAAAAUUGAACAAUGACUUGCUUUAUGAUUUAUUGAUGUAAUAAAGCUAUCAGAGAGAAAUUCCUUUGUUCCAAAACCAAAUAUGUGUAUUUCUCUACCAAUAUUUUCCUUCCAUUCUGGACAUAACCUCAUUUUUUCUUACCUUACAAAUAUUUUUCUCAGUUAUUUAUCUCUCUACUCUAUUAUUAAUUUCUCCUUCUAUAUGGCCACCUCUGUCCUUCACAUUUCUUUCUGGCAAAUUCCUCUAGUUCCUCCUGUCUCCUGGACUCUGCAA
rnacentral:lncRNA from 1 species